AACUUAAUGGAAUAUCAUAAUCCUUGUUUUGAUGAUACCAAAAUCAAUAGGUUUCUAUUGUAAUAGGCUAGAACUGCUCGAACUCAAGUGUUAGAGUUCUUUUUCUAGUUUAGUUGUUGUUCUGAAGACUGAAGACUGAAGAACGAAGGACUGAAGACUGAAGACUGAAGUUGCCGACUAAAGCAUCAGUCAAAGAAUCAGUCUUGAACUGAUUACUUAAUGCGUGCCACGUGGAAUCAGCGGACUGAUACUAAAGUCAAGUAUCAGUUAAACAUU
rnacentral:lncRNA from 1 species